GAUCCAGUCUCUCUGCCAGCCCAUAUCCUCCUCCUUAGCCGUGCGAGCACAGCUGCAAUCCAUUGCAGGCGAGAGGAGGGUAUAUAUUCAAAGGAGGGAAAGCAGUCAUUCACGGUCCAGCUUAGAUCUGGACAACAUGACUUCUUCCCUCCACUGAUCUCUCCAAGCUGUCCAAAAUCUAAAUAAACUAUCUCACCAAUUAAGAAUAAUCUGGGCCCAGAUAGACUUGGCUCCAGCAGCACUCUUAUUUGUGGGAGAUCCAGGCUACACACCAGAGGAUCUAAUUACCAAUCCCCUGGUUAAUUGUUUACACCAGUGAUUCUAGACCAGAAUGCAGCUCGUGCUUUUAAUCACAUGAUCGGAAUGACUUUUCCAUGGUACAGCUUUUUCAGCUAUUAACGGUUGAUCCUUCGCUAUACCCCUGAAGAAAGAGAGACACCUCUCAGAAACGUUGGGAUAAUUUGAAGAAUCACAUUAUAUAGUGCAAUUUUGUAUAUUUGUACUUGUCUGUUCAACGAUUUAUGUCUACCCCAGAU